rnacentral:rRNA from 1 species
CGAGCGAAGCGGGAAAAGCUCAAAUUUGUAAUCUGGCGUCUACGACGUCCGAGUUGUAAUCUCGAGAAGUGUUUUCCGUGAUAGACCGCAUACAAGUCUCUUGGAACAGAGCGUCAUAGUGGUGAGAACCCAGUACUCGAUGCGGAUGCCUAUUACUUUGUGAUACACUUUCGAAGAGUCGAGUUGUUUGGGAAUGCAGCUCAAAUUGGGUGGUAAAUUCCAUCUAAAGCUAAAUAUUGGCGAGAGACCGAUAGCGAACAAGUUCCGUGAGGGAAAGAUGAAAAGCACUUUGGAAAGAGAGUUAACAGUACGUGAAAUUGUUGGAAGGGAAACACAUGCAGCCAGACUUGCUAUUCGGGGCAACUCGAUUGGCAGGCCCGCAUCAGUUUUUCGGGGCGGAAAAGCAUAGAGAGAAGGUAGCAAUUUCGGUUGUGUUAUAGCUCUUUAUUGGAUUCGCCCUGGGGGACUGAGGAACGCAGCGUGCUUUUAGCAUAACCUUCGGGUUAUCCACGCUUAGG